AACGGGCGCGCCUGGUUGCAUUGGUGUGCGCAGCACGGUCCACGACGGCAAGAUGCUUCUCGCUCUUACAUUUGUAGUUUUGUUUGCCUCGCUAAUGCAGGUUCAACAAGUUAUCGGCGCUGACCAGAGUGGAGGAUCAGGGAGACCUGUGAUCCAAAAGGUCCUGUGCACGGCAGCCAUGAAGAAAAGGUGCAUGGAGAUGCGCCAACAAUGUGACAUCUCUCAGGGUGUCGCCCAAUGCGUGAAACCUUACCCUACGGAAUAAAAUCCGUUUUAGAUGCACAAGA